rnacentral:rRNA from 1 species
UACGUAGGGUGCGAGCGUUAAUCGGAAUUACUGGGCGUAAAGCGUGCGCAGGUGGUUCGUUAAGUCAGAUGUGAAAGCCCCGGGCUCAACCUGGGAACUGCAUUUGAAACUGGCGGGCUUGAGUGUGGCAGAGGGGGGUGGAAUUCCGCGUGUAGCAGUGAAAUGCGUAGAGAUGCGGAGGAACACCGAUGGCGAAGGCAGCCCCCUGGGCCAACACUGACGCUCAGGCACGAAAGCGUGGGGAGCAAACAGG